UAGGGACCGGGAGAGGCCGAGGGUAUUCCCGGGGUAGGGGUGAAAUCCUGUAAUCCCGGGAGGACCACCUGUGGCGAAGGCGCUCGGCUGGAACGGGUCCGACGGUGAGGGACGAAGGCCUGGGGAGCGAACCGGAUUAGAUACCCGGGUAGUCCAGGCUGUAAACGAUGCGGGCUAGGUGUCACCGGAGCUACGAGCUCCGGUGGUGCCGGAGGGAAGCCGUUAAGCCCGCCGCCUGGGAAGUACGGCCGCAAGGCUGAAACUUAAAGGAAUUGGCGGGGGAGCACUACAACGGGUGGAGCCUGCGGUUUAAUUGGAUUCAACGCCGGGAAGCUUACCGGGGGAGACAGCGGGAUGAAGGUCGGGCUGAAGACCUUACCAGACUAGCUGAGAGGUGGUGCAUGGCCGCCGUCAGUUCGUACUGUGAAGCAUCCUGUUAAGUCAGGCAACGAGCGAGACCCGCGCCCUCAGUUGCCAGCGGGUCCCUUCGGGGAUGCCGGGCACACUGAGGGGACUGCCGGCGCUAAGCCGGAGGAAGGUGCGGGCAACGGCAGGUCCGUAUGCCCCGAAUCCCCCGGGCUACACGCGGGCUACAAUGGCCGGGACAAUGGGUACCGACCCCGAAAGGGGUGGGUAAUCUCCUAAACCCGGUCUAACCUGGGAUCGAGGGCUGCAACUCGCCCUCGUGAACCUGGAAUCCGUAGUAAUCGCGUCUCAAAAUGGCGCGGUGAAUACGUCCCUGCUCCUUGCACUCACCG
rnacentral:rRNA from 1 species